AUUGAACGCUGGCGGCAGGCUUAACACAUGCAAGUCGAGCGAGCGGCGGACGGGUGAGUAAUGUCUGGGAAACUGCCUGAUGGAGGGGGAUAACUACUGGAAACGGUAGCUAAUACCGCAUACCAUCAGAUGUGCCCAGAUGGGAUUAGCUAGUAGGUGGGGUAAUGGCUCACCUAGGCGACGAUCCCUAGCUGGUCUGAGAGGAUGACCAGCCACACUGGAACUGAGACACGUGCCAGACUCCUACGGGAGGCAGGAGUGGGGAAUAUUGCACAGUGGGCGCAAGCCUGAUUCAGCCAUGCCGGGUGUGUGGAGAAGGCCUUCGGGUUGUAAAGCACUUUCAGCGAGGAGGGGUUACUCGCAGAAGAAGCACCGGCUAACUCCGUGCCAGCAGCCGCGGUAUAC
rnacentral:rRNA from 1 species